rnacentral:rRNA from 1 species
GACGAACGCUGGCGGCGUGCUUAACACAUGCAAGUCGAACGGUGAAGCGCCUUCCUUUUUGGUGGGUGUGGAUGAGUGGCGAACGGGUGAGUAACACGUGAGUAACCUGCCCCCUUCUCCUGGAUAACCGCAUGAAAGUGUGGCUAAUACGGGAUAUUCUGGGUCUGUCGCAUGAUGGGUCUGGGAAAGAUAUUGUUUCGGUGGGGGAUGGGCUCGCGGCCUAUCAGCUUGUUGGUGGGGUGAUGGCCUACCAAGGCGGUGACGGGUAGCCGGCCUGAGAGGGUGGACGGUCACACUGGGACUGAGACACGGCCCAGACUCCUACGGGAGGCAGCAGGGGGGAAUAUUGCACAAUGGGCGCAAGCCUGAUGCAGCGACGCCGCGUGAGGGAUGGAGGCCUUCGGGUUGUGAACCUCUUUCGCCAGUGAAGCAGGCCUGCCUCGUUUGUGGGUGGGUUGACGGUAGCUGGAUAAGAAGCGCCGGCUAACUACGUG